GCCCGGUUAGCUCAGUCGGUAGAGCAUGAGACUCUUAAUCUCGGGGUCGUGCCUUCGAGCCCCACAUUGGGCG